UUGAUUUUCUUAGAAGAUGUGCUGGCAUUGCAGGUGCACUCUUCAAAAACCAAUAAUCCACCUGUGCACUUUUGGUAGGCAACCAUGCCUAUGCAUUUUACAAACAACUAUUGAUGUAAUUGAAUGUGUUGAAUCAUGUAAUA
rnacentral:misc_RNA from 1 species